rnacentral:rRNA from 1 species
CCAGACUCCUACGGGAGGCAGCAGUGGGGAAUAUUGGACAAUGGGGGGAACCCUGAUCCAGCGACGCCGCGUGAAGGAUGAAGUAUUUCGGUAUGUAAACUUCUAUCAGCAGGGAAGAAAAUGACGGUACCUGACUAAGAAGCCCCGGCUAACUACGUGCCAGCAGCCGCGGUAAUACGUAGGGGGCAAGCGUUAUCCGGAUUUACUGGGUGUAAAGGGAGCGUAGACGGCAUGGCAAGUCUGAUGUGAAAACCCGGGGCUCAACCCCGGGACUGCAUUGGAAACUGUCAGGCUAGAGUGUCGGAGAGGCAAGUGGAGUUCCUAGUGUAGCGGUGAAAUGCGUAGAUAUUAGGAGGAACACCAGUGGCGAAGGCGGCUUGCUGGACGAUGACUGACGUUGAGGCUCGAAAGCGUGGGGAGCAAACAGGAUUAGAUACCCCCGUA